AUUGAACGCUGGCGGCAGGCCUAACACAUGCAAGUCGAGCGGAUGAAGGGAGCUUGCUCCUGGAUUCAGCGGCGGACGGGUGAGUAAUGCCUAGGAAUCUGCCUUGUAGUGGGGGAUAACGUCCGGAAACGGGCGCUAAUACCGCAUACGUCCUGAGGGAGAAAGUGGGGGAUCUUCGGACCUCACGCUAUUUGAUGAGCCUAGGUCGGAUUAGCUAGUUGGUGGGGUAAAGGCCUACCAAGGCGACGAUCCGUAACUGGUCUGAGAGGAUGAUCAGUCACACUGGAACUGAGACACGGUCCAGACUCCUACGGGAGGCAGCAGUGGGGAAUAUUGGACAAUGGGCGAAAGCCUGAUCCAGCCAUGCCGCGUGUGUGAAGAAGGUCUUCGGAUUGUAAAGCACUUUUAGUUGGGAGGAAGGGCAGUAAGUUAAUACCUUGCUGUUUUGACGGUACCAACAGAAUAAGCACCGGCUAACUUCGUG
rnacentral:rRNA from 1 species